rnacentral:misc_RNA from 1 species
CUGCCAUUAGCCGUGGUGUCGUCCACGGUGCUGUCCACCGGUUAUGUGCCGCCAGACACCUCAUCUGUUCCCCUGACCCUGGAUUCCCUUGCUGAAGUAGUCCGGGAAAUCUCACGGAACAUGGCUGUCAUGCAGGGAAACAUGAUCGCGAUGCAGGGGAACAUCUCCUCCAUCCAUACCUACAUCACCGGCGCCCAGAACCCACCGCUGCCUGCCUCCACCCCCAUGCCACUGCCGCCCAACCCAUCUGCGCCGCCGCCCACCGCAUCUCUCCCAACAUCCGCCGCUGCCGCAUCCUCCAUGGCCGGGGCUGCGCCUGGCGUACCGCUGCACUUGAUGCAGUGGCCCCGAUCACCGUUGCAAGUCCCGUCAUAUGUGCUGCAGCCGCCGAUCUACUCUACUCCGGCGACCAUCACGUCGUCGGUAGUGCAGUUUGAAGCCCCCCACGCUCCAGCCUCUGGGGGGGUCUUCUACGGAGGCGUCGAGGGAGUCCUCUUCCAUGAACCCACGACCCAGACAGCCUCCUCCGGGGUCGUCGAGCCCGCUGCUGGCCUGGGCUAUAGCCAGGCGGCACAGGCUCCCCCUCGCUACUACAAGAUCGACUUCCCCACCUAUGAUGGCAGCGUCGACCCCCUAAAUUGGUUGAACCAAUGCGAGUAG